rnacentral:rRNA from 1 species
GAUGAACGCUGGCGGCGUGCCUAAUACAUGCAAGUCGAGCGAACAGACGAGGAGCUUGCUCCUCUGACGUUAGCGGCGGACGGGUGAGUAACACGUGGAUAACCUACCUAUAAGACUGGGAUAACUUCGGGAAACCGGAGCUAAUACCGGAUAAUAUAUUGAACCGCAUGGUUCAAUAGUGAAAGACGGUUUUGCUGUCACUUAUAGAUGGAUCCGCGCCGCAUUAGCUAGUUGGUAAGGUAACGGCUUACCAAGGCGACGAUGCGUAGCCGACCUGAGAGGGUGAUCGGCCACACUGGAACUGAGACACGGUCCAGACUCGUACGGGAGGCAGCAGUAGGGAAUCUUCCGCAAAGGGCGAAAGCCUGACGGAGCAACGCCGCGUGAGUGAUGAAGGUCUUCGGAUCGUAAAACUCUGUUAUUAGGGAAGAACAAAUGUGUAAGUAACUAUGCACGUCUUGACGGUACCUAAUCAGAAAGCCACGGCUAACUACGUG